rnacentral:rRNA from 1 species
CCAAGGAGUYUAACAUGUGCGCGAGUCGCAGGGUGCUCGCAAAAUAAAAAAAACCCGAACCCCGAAGGCGCAAUGAAAGUGAAGGUCGGUGGUCUGACUGACCGAGGCGGGAUCCGUUCCGGGCAUCGAUCGCAGAUACGGGAGAUUUGUCUUUCCGUUUUUUUUGCGGCGAGCCCGGCGGCGCACCGCCGGCCCGUCUCGACCGCUUCUUGUCGGCGAGGCGGAGCAAGAGCGCACACGUUGGGACCCGAAAGAUGGUGAACUAUGCUCGGGCAGGACGAAGCCAGAGGAAACUCUGGUGGAGGUCCGUAGCGAUUCUGACGUGCAAAUCGAUCGUCGGACCCGAGUAUAGGGGCGAAAGACUAAUCGAACCGUC